AUGAGGAGCUUGUACGCCAGCGCCCCAGUCCUCGGAGCCGUUGCGGUAGCUGUCGUGGGUGAUGCGCCCGGCUUGCCAGUCCCUGUCGAAGGUGGCCUGGAGCCCUGGGGACACAGUGUGGGGUGUGAGCAUCCCCUUGGGGCAUGCCUGGCAUUGCUGGGCACCCAGGGAAGGUGCGCAGGCCGGAGAGGGGGUCCUUGGGCACGGGAGGGCACUGGGGAGGAAGGGCGAGGGAUGCCCCUCACCUCGCAGCCAGUCCUGGAAGUAGUGGAGCCACAUUUUGGGCAGGUCGUGGUUGCCCUCGCGCACCACGUACUUGACGGUGCUGAAAGCCUGGUGCAGGCUGAGCAGGGCGGCCUGGGCGCCCGGGUAGUGGAAGCCGCCCUUGGUGACGAUGAACAUGUUGUAGAAGGAGAAGUACUUGAACUGCGCCGAGAUGAAGGCGUGCGCCUUGGUGUCCCGCGGCACGAUGUCCGUCAGGUAGAGCCCGUCGUGCACCAUGGUGGUGCCGUAGAGGCUCAGCCCCAGCAGCGCCAGGAAGAGGACCACCACCACCGCCUGCGGGGACAGCGGGGUCAAAACAACGUCCCCCAACACCCGUGUCCCCAUCCCGGGGUGGCCGUCCCGUCCUUGCCUCACCUUGGUCUGGGUGCGCAGCAGGAGCGGGGCGUACUUCUCGCGGGCGAAGUCGGAGAGGCUCCAGCGGCAGAAGGGCAGGGGCACGCACUCACGCCCACCCUUGGCCUCGUCCAGCUGGGCCAGGAGGUCCCGCGUGGAGCUGGAGGGGGUGAAGACCUGCGAGCCCAGCGGGUCGGCGGGCGGCAGGAGCACGGCGGGCGAGGUGCACACCUGGGAGGUGGGCGGCAGGACGGUGACGAUGUGGUGGCCCGAGGGGUCGCACUGGGUGAAGGCCUGCACGGUGGUGGUGAUCUGGGUGCUGGUGGCCACGCCAGGGGUGCCCGUAGGGGGACGGGUGGGAGGCGUGGUUGUCGUUGGCGUCCGCGAACUCCUGGGGUUGGAUCUGGAUGA
rnacentral:lncRNA from 1 species